GCCAGGCAUGGUGGCGCAUGCCUAUAAUCCCAGCUACUUGGGAGGCUCAGGUAGGAAGGUCUGAAGUUCAAGCCAGUCUGAG
rnacentral:sRNA from 1 species